rnacentral:rRNA from 1 species
GACGAACGCUGGCGGCGUGCCUAAUACAUGCCAGUUGAGCGCUGAAGGUUGGUACUUGUACCCACUGGAUGAGCAGCGAACGGGUGAGUAACGCGUGGGGAAUCUGCCUUUUAGCGGGGGACAACAUUUGGAAACGAAUGAUAAUACCGCAUAAAAACUUUAAACACAAGAUUUAAGUUUGAAAGAUGCAAUUGCAUCACUCAAAGAUGAUCCCGCGUUGUAUUAGCUAGUUGGUGAGGUAAAGGCUCACCAAGGCGAUGAUACAUAGUCGACCUGAGGGGGUGAUCGGCCACAAUGGGACUGGGACACGGCCCAAACUCCUAAGGGAGGCAGCAGGAGGGAAUCUUCGGCAAUGGACGAAAGUCUGACCGAGCAACGCCGCGUGAGUGAAGAAGGUUUUCGGAUCGUAAAACUCUGUUGGUAGAGAAGAACGUUGGUGAGAGUGGAAAGCUCAUCAAGUGACGGUAACUACCCAGAAAGGGACGGCUAACUACGUG